AUCUGGUGCUGACAUGAUGGAUGAAAUGUCCCUGGGCUGCAAAUGAGGAUAGCUUGGGUCUCCUCCUAGGGCUAGAGCCUCAGCGAGUGUCACCAGAUGUUACUUUUCUAAAGACAUCUUGAAGCCAGGCUGACACCAGCGGAGGAUCUGGCCCCGAUUCUCCAAAGCAGUGCAGUUAUGCAUACUUGAUACAAAAUAUGCGGCAUUUCGAGAACUGUGGAGUUCAUUAAAAGCCUCCCUUUUUACCUGAAACAAAGCCGCUGGAGAAUUUCCAAUCUGAAGUACUAGUGUGUGAGCAGGAUCCAGGAUCAUUGUCACCAAAUUGAACUCCAGCUUUCCAAGAAAUGAAAAGAUCUUUGAUGACAAUAUGAUCUCUGGUGCUUUUCCAGACAUGCUUUACUUCUUCCCAUGCUAAUAAGCUCAAUGAGCAAGACAUCUCAUACUGGAAUGACACGUGUCUGAGACCAUCUUCCUUUCAAAUAAUAACACAGAAAGAAAUAUUUAUAGCAUUGCCAUGACAUCAAGAGAAAGAGAACAGA